UGGACUCGGGUCCUCUCGACCCCGAGCACAAAACCCAGCCUUCCGCAGCUGUCUCCAUUAGCACAAAACAAACCUCUGUGCGUCCGGAGUAGCGUACCCUGCAGGAAUGCGGGGGGAGGGUGCUGACCCCCGAGCUGGCGAGCACCGGACCAAACCAGUCUGCACCGGGACGGACCCCAGCGCUGAACUUUCGCGGACUCUCCCCUCCUUGGGACGUUAGAAGUCACACCUGGGGUGCAGAUUUAACGUGUUCAGUAGACCUGCCGCACGGGAAGGAGCGCGAUCUUUACGCGCGCAGGUGCGGAUACACCCCCGCCUCCACCUGCUUGUACUAAACCCUUUCCCCACCUAAGUUUCCGUAAAAAACCCUCCCUGACCGCCCCUCGGGGAGCCAGCCCGAGAAUUCCUUCCUUCCGGCGGCCUCGUUGUGCGGAGCACAAGUCCCUGUGAAGCCUUUCUGGGACUCCCACGAGGCCUCCUGUCCUUUUCCAUUGCCUGGCGAGCCCGGGGCCCUGCUGGGUAUCAGCCGCGCUUCAGAAACCCUAAGGGACUAAUCAGUGUAAAUGUGACGUAUAGACGGGGACCUGGCUCCAUGGGUGGAGACGGACAUGUAAACGAUUAGUAACGUUGCCUGGUCAGCACGCAGCAGGAGGUGAGCCCCUAACUGCUUGUGGUCAGUCACAGAGGAAGGGGCCGCCCGUUCACUGGGAAGCAGGAAAAGCGAGGAUCUUUCAUUACCUGGGAAUUCGAGUUGGUGAUCUCUUGUCUCUUAAGUUUUCUUUGCUUAUGGACAACUACUGUGGAAAUUGUCUUUCGGUGGCGUGUAAAUAAUUUUAGCAUUUUUUUCCCCUAAUAGUAUUUCCUUACUGUUUCGUGAGUCAGAAUGUGUCUGGCAUCUAGGUUGUCCUGCUCUUCGUGGGGUUUCCUACUUCUUUGCCACCCUGAAGAACCUCGAGGGGAAUCUCUCAACGGAGAGCGUGUAAUACACUCUGUCGGGUUAUUUCAAUCCAGCAGACCACGAAGCAAGCGGAGCUGGACCUUGGACCCUCCAAGUUCCAGAGGACGCGGUGGGGCUUGUGACCCUGAAGGUGGAGAAAGAUGAACAUACUUGGAAAGGAGACUCCAGCUUUCGAAGGGAGAAACCGCAUACCAGGGAGAUCUUUUGCAGGUGCUUCAGUUUUGCUCUCCAGAGACACCUGGACCCCUCGAGGCUCAGAGUCGCACCGGGCUCGGGGAGCUCUGCCGACGCUGGCUGCGGCCCGAGACGCACAGCAAGGAGCAGAUCGUGGAGCUGCUGGUGCUGGAGCAGUUCCUGACCAUCCUGCCCGAGGAGCUGCAGGCCCGGGUGCGGGAGCGGCCCCCGGAGAGCGGGGAGCAGGCGGUGACUGUGCGGGAUGAGCCAGGAGAACAGAACAGGAUUUUUCAGGGAUUUUUCUCUUACGUCCGACGUUCUUCACUCUAAUUGAAGCCCUGAGGAAGAGAAGCAAAUAGCGGAACAUUGCUUGAACAAAUACCCAGCUACUAAAAUGAAUACAGAAAAUGACCUUUUCAGCAUGGAAACGAACCUCUCGCUGUGGUGCCAUUUCCUGUCACUCGGCUCAAGGUCAGCUUUCCGAACAGGGCGUUCUGGUAACUCCUAGAAUGUGUGCAGGGACGAGACUCACACUUGGUGCAACCAGAAGCCACGCAAACCCCAGCUAGGACGUCCUGCCCAGAGAAAUUGCCGGCAUAGGUAGUGGCCUGUUCCUGGUGCUGUUGUUCUAAUCGGCUCGACUGAGAUAUACGAUAAAACUCAGCAAUUUUAAGAGUACAGUUUAAUGAGCUUUGACAAAUAAAUCAACGGCCAUAAAACUA